UACGAAGGGGGCUAGCGUUGCUCGGAAUCACUGGGCGUAAAGCGCACGUAGGCGGAUUGCUAAGUCAGGGGUGAAAUCCUGGAGCUCAACUCCAGAACUGCCUUUGAUACUGGCGAUCUUGAGUCCGGGAGAGGUGAGUGGAACUGCGAGUGUAGAGGUGAAAUUCGUAGAUAUUCGCAAGAACACCGGUGGCGAAGGCGGUUCUCUGGGCAUGUCCUGACGCUGAGGAGCGAAAGUGUGGGGAGCGAACAGG
rnacentral:rRNA from 1 species